GUCUUUUUUAUAUAUUAAAUACAGAGACACUUGUAAGACUUCAUAACAUCAAAAAGUGACAGGAGAUUCACCAAAGCUGCUAUUACUUUCGUUAAAUUUAUAUACAAUAUUUAAAAAAUAUUAUUCUCUGGAGCAUAAAUAUUCAAGCUUUAUCAAUAAACUCGCUAUCUUCUGAUGGAUAUAAACCAAUUUUUUGGAAAGAUUGAAAUUACGUUAUCACUUCGGUGGAAAAUAGAAAAGUACCCAACAAAAUGAGGUACACUUACAUAUUGACCAAAGAAAAAUAAAUGGAAAAAAAAGGCAACCAAUUUCUUCGGAGCUUGUACAUGCUACCACAUGCGAUAAGAUCAUUUUGGGAGCAGCACGCACGCACGUGUAAAUUUUUAUGAAAAAAAUAAAUAAAUAUAUUGUUGAAUUGGCUAUUGGAUCAACGAUCGACUAUUAGCAACGACAUCGAGAGUGAUUAGUUUAUUCACCGAGGACGCAUUGGGCAACGAAGCAUGUAUUAACAGUUAACCUUACACGCUGAUUAUAUAUACAACAUCCAGAAUAUAUAUUGACAGUUACAGUUUUGUUGCAAUUAUAUAUUGAGAUCAAGUUGAUGCCAGCGGUCAUCUAGGAGGUGUUAUGGACUAUUUUUCACUAUCACACAUAUACACGCAUAUAAUAACAUAGUGUAUGGAUAUAUUAGCAUUGGUUACGAAAAGCUAAGUAUUGAAUUACCGUUAUUAUCAAAGAAGUGUAAGUUUGUAUAUCAAAACAAACCACUAACGUUUGCCACUGGUGUUUUCUCGGUCAAUUUAAAUUGUCGGUUUACCAUAUUUUAAAUAUUCACGCAUCUCAAUAACCUCAUUGUAUUGUUAACCUUUGCUUAGACAAUUUAAAUUCACUUAGUUAUAAUUUAAAUUUAUAUAUAUAUUAAAUAAUUAUCUUUAAUUAUCAAUCUACUACUCGGCAGAAAUAUAAAAUAAAUAAUAACAUUUUUUUUUCUUUUUUUAUAAAUGUUAAAAUAAGUAUAAAGAUAAAUCGACAUCAGGCAAAAUGAACAAGGUAUGAUGAUGUAAUUAUUUUUACGAGAUAACCAAUGCUUUUAAACUGCAUUAAUUUGCGACUAUUAUUGCGCUGGUAAGUUUAAUAUUUUUAUGCUGUUAGCCAUCAAGUAAUUGGUUCAACCGCGUUAAUUCAGCUCAGGGCUAGACUCGCUAACUUUCAUUUAACAUACAUAUUAUUUUAUUCAGCAUCACAAAGGGCUCCUCCUUCAAAUAAAUAAUAAAUAAUAAAAUAAAUAAAUAUAUAUAAAUGAAUAUAUAAUACAUCUGAUGGCUUUUCCUGCAAUUCAAUAAGCUAUUAUUCCAGUCAGUCAGCGUAUACAUAUAUGUCCUUCGAUCUGAUCCAGGUUAACACGAAGGACUGAACCUUGAGGCAAUCUCUAACUGCCUCGGAUGCAGUAGUGGUGCAUUUUACACAAAUUUAUACAAAAUUAAAAAAAUCACAAAAACGAAUAUA